rnacentral:lncRNA from 10 species
GAAGUCAAGGGUGUGACUGAGAGCAGUCUGAGAGAGGGUGACCUAUUUUUGGAAAGAGCACAGUUUGUGUGUCAGACACACUGGCUUUGAAUUCUAUCUCUACCUCUUUUUAGCUGUGAGACUUUGCACCCAUUACUAUCCUACUCAGAACCUCAACUUACUGUUUGUGAGACAGAGGGGAUAGCAGGGGCCUCACGGGGUCUUAGGAGCUUUAAAUGAUGUACCACGUUAAGUUCUAGAAUGUUCCAGAGUUGGAGUUUACACAAAGUGGCAGCUAUUUCUAUUUUAGUAAGAACUAGGGCAAGGAGAGAAUACUGCUUCUGAAGAGGUGCUCAGAGGAAGGUGAGCAUUGAGGGAGACUGAGAAGGAAAAGUCAGAGAGAUAGGGGGAGAAAUAGGCAAGAGUGUGGGGUAAGGAAGUCAAAAUCCAAGAAGGCUUCAAGAAAACAAUUGGUCAGCAAUGUGAUGUGCCGUAGAGAAGUCAAGAAGAUGAGCACGGAAUCCAGCACAGGAGAUGUGGCCGUCAGGAAGUCUAGGGGCAAAGAGACCUCGCCUUGAAGUAAAUGAGAGAAAAUGAAACCUCCUGAGCUGUCCGGUAAUAGAAAGAAGCUGCAGAACCCUGUUGUCUUCAUCUUUUGUUUAACUCAUGCAACAUUUGAAAGCACGUUUGCCUACAAGAAAUAAAACUUAAGUUGUGAAAUGGCUUAUUAAUGAACUCAGAUGACAAGAAACCAAAACAGCGGGCCUGGCUGAAGGAUUCAUCCCUAGCCCUGAAAGCCAGCGGGGUCUUUCUGUAACAUCAAAGGCACAAACAAUUGAACCGACAUGGGGACUUAUUCUGUCCAGCAGCCCUGGUGGCCUCAGACCAUCCGAAGCAAGGGUAACCUACCAGAAAGCUGCUAGAUGUUCCCCACUACAGUGAAGGAUUAAACAAAGAAUGAAGAAGAAGUAGGACUCAAGAAGUAAAUGAUCCAACUCAAGAAAGAGGUAAAGGGAAUUCUCAGGAUAAAGGCUCAACCAGGCCUGGAAAACAAACUGUCCACAUUGGAACAAGAGAAAGGAGGGAAUCAAGGAAAAAAAAGGGAUCUGGGGUGGAGGUGGGGGUGUAAAAGUGCUCAGCUAUCUAAAAUGUUUAAUUAGGCCAGGCGUGGUGGCUCAUGCCUGUAAUCAUGCCUUUGGGAGGCAGAGGCAGAUGGAUCACCUGAGGUCAGGAGUUCGAGAUCAGCCUGGCCAACAUGGUGAAAUCCUGACUCUACCAAAAAUACAAAAAUUAGCUGGGUGUGGUGGUGGACGCCUAUAAUCCCAGCUACUCGGGAGGCUGAGGCAGGAGAAUCGCUUGAACACGGGAGGCGGAGGUUGCAGUGAGCAGAGAUUGCAGCAUUGCACUCCAUCCUGGGUGAAACAGAAAGACUUUGUCUCAAAGAAAAAAAUAAAUAAAAAUAAAUAAAUGAUAAAUAAAUAAAUAAAAUAAAUAAAAUGUUUUAUUAUAUGAAAAAUUGUAUUGGGAAGCUAUUGGAAAACAUGGAAAGAAUUAGAGAUAAAGAAAACAAAAAUUUAAAAAAAAUACAAUAACUAACAAGGUAGUACAAAUUAGUUUGGACAGAGAAAGUUCAACUCUUUCCUACUGUUCAUCAGAUCGGGAAGAUAGAGACAGAUAAUGCUAAUGUUUCUUUCUCUCAGGGACACAGGGCAGCUAUAAAGUGUCAUAAUGAUUCCCUAAGAAAUCCCUAAAGCCAUGCACUAUGAGAAACUUUGCUAAUUGAAAUAAACAUCAGCAGGAAUGAAACAUCCCACUCUUGCCUGGAAGAUCUAAGUCACUCUGACACAAAAAAAGGCAGCCUUGAUUUACAACCCAGGUGCAGAACUUCAGAUACGAAUUUUGUGUGAUUUCUAAGGAAAUAGGAGCCUGGGUCCCCCUCUGCAGUCCAGACCUGAUGUUAAUCUCUUCCCACACAGCCCUGCUUUGCACCUAUCGAAACACUACUUCAUUUAAAUUUAACCUAAAUUCUGGCCGGGCACGGUGGCUCACGCCUGUAAUCUCAGCACUUUGGGAAGCUGAGGUGGACAGAUCACGAGGUCAAGAGAUCGGGACCAUCCUGGCCAACAUGGUGAAACCCUGCCUCUACUAAAAAUACAUAAAUUAGCUCGGCGUAGUGGCACGU